ensembl:lncRNA
AUCUGGCAAAGCAGACCCCAGCAUACAAUGAAAGACGUUAAAGUGAACCUCAUCACCCCUCAUGGAAUGGCACACAGGGGUAGGCUGUGAAAGCAGUGAGCUAGCAACAUGCAGAGGAUGUACUGAAAACACACUGGUUGGGAGAAAAUGACUUGAUUUGAUUUCUUGAUUUGAUGCUGCUAUGAAGUAAGCUUUGCUCCCUCACCUCCUUCCACCAUGAUGUUCCUGCCUUGGAGCCAGCAAACCUCCAAAACUGUGAACACGUAAACAAACUGGAUAUUCAUAAAAUGGAUUAUUAUUCAGCCAUACAGAGACGUGAG